rnacentral:rRNA from 1 species
UUGAACGCUGGCGGCAUGCUUUACACAUGCAAGUCGAACGGUAACAGGCCUUCGGGUGCUGACGAGUGGCGAACGGGUGAGUAAUGCAUCGGAACGUGCCCAAUCGUGGGGGAUAACGUAGCGAAAGUUACGCUAAUACCGCAUACGCCCUGAGGGGGAAAGCAGGGGAUCUUCGGACCUUGUGCGAAUGGAGCGGCCGAUGUCAGAUUAGCUAGUUGGUGGGGUAAAGGCCCACCAAGGCGACGAUCUGUAGCGGGUCUGAGAGGAUGAUCCGCCACACUGGGACUGAGACACGGCCCAGACUCCUACGGGAGGCAGCAGUGGGGAAUUUUGGACAAUGGGCGAAAGCCUGAUCCAGCCAUGCCGCGUGAGUGAAGAAGGCCUUCGGGUUGUAAAGCUCUUUCAGCCGGAAAGAAAUCGCGCAGGCUAAUACUCUGCGUGGAUGACGGUACCGGAAGAAGAAGCACCGGCUAACUACGU